GAGCCCAGCCGGCUCUUCUGCACGUUCCAGGUCGUUCUCAAUGAUGACGAGCAUACGGGCCACCUCUUCAUAUUUGCGGUCGGCAUCCUCAGCAUUGUGCUUGGCCUCUUUCAGUUGGAUCUCCUGAAUUUCCAUUUUCUCUUCAUCCUUUUGGGCUCGACUUUCAAUGACUUUCAUGCCUCUCUCACUCUCACCUGCUGCCUUCUCAGCUUCAGCAUCGGUGGCCUUUUUCUCUGCCAGCUCCAGCUUCUCCUGGGCAUCUUUGAGAGCCUCAGAGUAUUUGUCCAGUCAUCUUCGGUGCCCUUGAGUUUCUUUUGCAGCGACACCAGCUCAUAUUCCAGCUGCUUGCUCCUGUCUUCCGCCGCCUUCUUGUCGGCCUCCGCCUGCUCAGCUCAAUCCAAGGCGUUCUCCUUGUCGAGCUUCAGCAUCUGCAUCUUCUUCUUGAUUGCGUCCAUGGUGGCAGCAGCGAGGGGCCCUGGGGCUGCAGCAGGAGGGGUCGGGCGGAGGAGCGGGAGUGCAAGCGCGGAGCCGCCUGCUGCUCCCAGAUAUGUACUUUCCCCGGUCAUGAACUUUCUAGUGCGGAUAGUCACUGUGUUGUUCAUGAUGGCUGCCUAUACUUAGACAGCCGGGGAGGAAAAGAGCGCACCGUGCCCAUUUAAAUUGAGCAGAUUGUAUGGAG
rnacentral:lncRNA from 13 species